rnacentral:rRNA from 1 species
GACGAACGCUGGCGGCGUGCUUAACACAUGCAAGUCGAACGAAGUGGCGAACGGGUGAGUAACGCGUAAUCAACCUGCCCUUCAGAGGGGGACAACAGUUGGAAACGACUGCUAAUACCGCAUACGGAAGGAGGGGUAUGCGUCUGAUUAGCUAGUUGGAGGGGUAAUGGGCAACCAAGGCGAUGAUCAGUAGCCGGGCUGGGAGGAUGAACGGCCAAAUUGGGACUGGGACACGGCCCAGACCCCUACGGGAGGCAGCAAGGGGGAAUCUUCCGAAAUGGAGGAAAGUCUGACGGAGCAACGCCGCGUGAGUGAUGACGGCCUUCGGGUUGUAAAGCUCUGUUAAUCGGGACGCGGUACCGGAAUAGAAAGCCACGGCUAACUACGUGCCAGCAGCCGCGGUAAUUC